UGCGAGUCGACGAGAACGGGUCUUAGCUUGCUAAGAUUGUCAGCUAAGUGGCGCACGGGUGAGUAAUAUAUAGUUAACCUGCCCUAGAGAGAGGGAUAACGUUUGGAAACGGACGCUAACACCUCAUAUGCCUUUAAGACAAAAGUCUGCAAGGGAAACAUUUAUGGCUCUAGGAUGGGACUGUACGGUAUCAGUUAGUUGGUGAGGUAAUGGCUCACCAAGACAAUGACACCUAACUGGUUUGAGAGGAUGAUCAGUCACACUGGAACUGAGACACGGUCCAGACUCCUACGGGAGGCAGCAGUGGGGAAUAUUGCACAAUGGACGAAAGUCUGAUGCAGCAACGCCGCGUGGAGGAUGACACAUUUCGGUGCGUAAACUCCUUUUAUAUAGGAAGAUAAUGACGGUACUAUAUGAAUAAGCACCGGCUAACUCCGUGCCAGCAGCCGCGGUAAUACGGAGGGUGCAAGCGUUACUCGGAAUCACUGGGCGUAAAGAGAAUGUAGGCGGGUAAUUAAGUCAGAAGUGAAAUCCAAUAGCUCAACUAUUGAACUGCUUUUGAAACUGAUAACCUAGAAUAUGGGAGAGGUAGAUGGAAUUUCUGGUGUAGGGGUAAAAUCUCGUAGAGAUCAGAAGGAAUACCGAUUGCGAAGGCGAUCUACUGGAACAUUAUUGACGCUGAGAUUCGAAAGCGUGGGGAGCAAACAGGAUUAGAUACCCUGGUAGUCCACGCCCUAAACGAUGCACACUAGUUGUUGCUAUGCUAGA
rnacentral:rRNA from 1 species